AGUGACUUAGGUUAGACUACCCAGACCAAGAGCCUUCAAAGCCCUCAGCGGAGGUGAAAACCCUCCAGUCGCUG
rnacentral:tRNA from 1 species